rnacentral:rRNA from 1 species
GCUGCUGGUCUCUAGUAGGCCCCUCACUUCGGUGAGGAAAAGGCACGCCGGCGGCCAAAUCAACUCUGUUUUUACACUGAAACUCUGAGAAAAAACACAAAUGAAUCAAAACUUUCAACAACGGAUCUCUUGGUUCUGGCAUCGAUGAAGAACGCAGCGAAAUGCGAUAAGUAAUGUGAAUUGCAGAAUUCAGUGAAUCAUCGAAUCUUUGAACGCACAUUGCGCCCUCUGGUAUUCCGGAGGGCAUGCCUGUUCGAGCGUCAUUUCAACCCUCAAGCAUUGCUUGGUGUUGGGGCACUGCUUCUAACGAAGCAGGCCCUGAAAUCUAGUGGCGAGCUCGCCAGGACCCCGAGCGCAGUAGUUAAACCCUCGCUCUGGAAGGCCCUGGCGGUGCCCUGCCGUUAAACCCCCAACUUCUGAAAAUUUGACCUCGGAUCAGGUAGGAAUACCCGC